UACGUAGGCAGCAAGCGUUGUUCGGAGUUACUGGGCGUAAAGAGUGCGUAGGCGGUCCUGUAAGUUUGGUGUGAAAUCUCCCGGCUCAACUGGGAGGGUGCGCCGAAGACUGCAGGGCUUGAGUAUGGGAGAGGUAAGCGGAAUUCCUGGUGUAGCGGUGAAAUGCGUAGAUAUCGAGAGGAACACCUGCGGCGAAGGCGGGUUGCUGGGCUGAUACUGACGCUGAGGCGCGAAAGCCAGGGGAGCGAACGGG
rnacentral:rRNA from 1 species